GAUUUCUGACUUGAUCCACCUAGCCCGCUAUCGAAAGGUAGUGAGUGCUGGGCUGUGUCGUGUCAUCCUUGUAGAAAACUCGCGUGCCCUUAACUGGUGUUGCGCGGGCGAUCUACAUCUUUUACUUUGAAAAAAUUAGAGUGUUCAAAGCAGGCUUACGCUGUGAAUACAUUAGCAUGGAAUAAUAAUUUAGGACUUCGGUUCCUAUUUUGUUGGUUUCUAGGACUGAAGUAAUGAUUGAUAGGGAUAGUUGGGGGUGCUAGUAUUCAGCGGCCAGAGGUGAAAUUCUUGGAUUCGCUGAAGACUAACUUAUGCGAAAGCAUU
rnacentral:rRNA from 1 species